rnacentral:ncRNA from 2 species
GAUAAUGUGGGCCGCAAUGGUUCCAGUUGCUCAAAGUUCGAUCAUUUUCGAUGUGAGCAGGAUUAAAUGGGAAUCCGGCGGGCCCAAUCAUACCAGGGCCUGAUCAACCGGAGCUGUCCCCGCAACUGUGAGCGAAGAGCCUGCCCCGGAUAGCGUCGCCCCUCCUAACCGCGACGCCGUCAAAGCCACUGACUGGAGACUGUCUCCAUGCUCGGGAAGGUGGGGUUAGGCUGCGAAACGCAAGCCAGGAGACCUGCCAUUGUUCGCUCUCACUC